rnacentral:rRNA from 1 species
UACAGGAGGGUGCGAGCGUUGUUUCGGAAUUAUUUGGGCGUAAAGGGCGCGUAGGCGGUGCGGUAAGUUCACCUGUGAAAUCGUCCUGGACCUCAACUGGGAGCUUGCAGGCGGAAACUGCCGUGCUGGAGUGUGGGAGAGGUGCGUGGGAAUUCCUGGGUGUAGCGGUGAAAUGCGUAGAUAUCAGGAGGAACACCUGUGGCGAAAGCGGCGCACUGGACCACAACGUGACGCUGAGGCGCGAAAGCUAGGGGAGCAAACAGG